CAGCAGCCGCGGUAAUACGUAGGGUGCAAGCGUUGUCCGGAAUUACUGGGUGUAAAGGGAGUGUAGGCGGGACUGCAAGUCAGGUGUGAAAACUAUGGGCUUAACCCAUAGACUGCACUUGAAACUGUGGUUCUUGAGUGAAGUAGAGGUUGGCGGAAUUCCUAGUGUAGCGGUGAAAUGCGUAGAUAUUAGGAAGAACACCAGUGGCGAAGGCGGCCGACUGGGCUUUUACUGACGCUGAGGCUCGAAAGCGUGGGUAGCAAACAGGAUUAGAUACCCUGGUAGUCCACGCUGUAAACGAUGAUUACUAGGUGUGGGGGGACUGACCCCUUCCGUGCCGGAGUUAACACAAUAAGUAAUCCACCUGGGGAGUACGACCGCAAGGUUGAAACUCAAAGGAAUUGACGG
rnacentral:rRNA from 1 species